rnacentral:rRNA from 1 species
CCUACGGGUGGCUGCAGUGAGGAAUAUUGGUCAAUGGCCGAGAGGCUGAACCAGCCAAGUCGCGUGAGGGAAGACGGCCCUACGGGUUGUAAACCUCUUUUGUCGGGGAGUAAAGCGAUCCACGUGUGGUUCUUUGCGAGUACCCUAUGAAUAAGCAUCGGCUAACUCCGUGCCAGCAGCCGCGGUAAUACGGAGGAUGCGAGCGUUAUCCGGAUUUAUUGGGUUUAAAGGGUGCGCAGGGGGAGGUGCAAGUCAGCGGUCAAAUUGUGGGGCUCAACCCCGUACUGCCGUUGAAACUGCAUGCCUUGAGUGCGCGAGAGGUAUGCGGAAUGCGUGGUGUAGCGGUGAAAUGCGUAGAUAUAUGGAAGAACACCGAUGGCGAAGGCAGCUCUCUGGGCUGUAACUGACGCUGAAGUUCGAAAGCGUGGGUAGCAAACAGGAUUAGAUACCCCGGUAGUC